rnacentral:rRNA from 1 species
CUACGGGACGCUGCAGUGAGGAAUAUUGCACAAUGGGGGAAACCCUGAUGCAGCAACGCCGCGUGGAGGAUGACGCAUUUCGGUGUGUAAACUCCUUUUAUCAGAGAAGAAAAUGGCGGUAUCUGAUGAAUAAGCUCCGGCUAACUCCGUGCCAGCAGCCGCGGGAAUACGGAGGGAGCAAGCGUUAUUCGGAAUCACUGGGCGUAAAGGACGCGUAGGCGGGUUUUUAAGUCAGGUGUGAAAUCCUAUGGCUCAACCAUAGAACUGCACUUGAAACUGGGGACCUAGAGUAUGGAAGGGGCAGGUGGAAUUAGUGGUGUAGGGGUAAAAUCCGUAGAUAUCACUAGGAAUACCGAAAGCGAAGGCGACCUGCUGGGACAUUACUGACGCUGAGGCGUGAAAGCGUGGGGAGCAAACAGGAUUAGAUACCCGCGUAGUC